CAGCUGUAGUAAUCGUCAACAGCAGGUGUGUUCGGGGAACCGGAUUAGCGAGCUCACGGUUAGCGCGAUGAUUUGAUCUUGGAUGUGUCAUUUGAUCUUGGAUGUAGUAAGCGACGUACGAAGAACGGGCCCCUGAACAGUCAUUUAAGAUCAGCUAGUAAACAACAAUUAGCUGAUGUUGUUCAUGAGACUAAAGUCAUCUCACUGUGGCUUUGAAGCUUGUGUCGAGUAAUGGAGGGGGCGUUUCCGCGAUGCGCGUAUCGAGGCUUGCUUCAUUUAUGGGAGGAGCUGAAAAUGAUGACGUCCGAAGCCUCGCUGCCCGGCUGUACCACGUGACUGGUUCAUGAAGUGGUUUGAACUUUGCCGCGAGAUAUGACAGCGAUAUAAACCCUCAGACUUCAUUCAAAAUGUGGGUGUUUGAUGGAGAGUUGUUAGUGAGAGUUUGGAGACAGUUUGGAGGUUUAUGAGAGUGAGGAGAGAAAGUCAGGAGAGAAUGGAGCCAGCUAAGAAGAGGAGGAUGUCCUCCCCUGUGUGGGAACAUUUUGAUCUUAUUCCUCCCAACAAGGUAUGUAAAUUUCUACAGAAGAUGUAUUUUCAUGAUACUGAUGGUGCAAUACAAUUUAUGUUGAGCUGUCUGUACUUUUGUACAAGGUGAAGUGUUUGCUAUGUGCCAGGCAGCUGGGAUAUAACAACACCUCAUCCAUGCUUAGGCACUACAGAGCUUUGCAUGAGAAUAAGGGGGACACCGAUUGUGGAGCAAGACCAGGAGAACAAUCUCCAAUAGAUGAAGACCUGGUUAGCAACAAUGCUAGUGCUAGCGGCGCUAACGGCUGCAGACAGGAAGAUACUGCCAGCACCGGAAACGUGCUCGUCAUCUCCGAGCAUGAAGUAAGGAGAGCCUUCAAGAGAGUGAACACCAGGAAAGCAGCAGGACCAGACGGCAUCCCAGGUCGUAUCCUCAGAGACUGCGCAUACCAGCUAGCUCCUGUGUUCACUGAGAUAUUCAACAUCUCUUUAUCUCAGUCGGUGAUCCCCACAUGCUUCAAAGAGUCCAUCAUUGUUCCUGUCCCGAAGAAACCCCACCCUGCUUCUCUCAAUGACUAUCGCCCUGUAGCCCUCACCUCAGUAGUGAUGAAGUGCUUUGAACGCCUGGUCAGAGACUUCAUCAUUUCUUCACUACCAGACACACUGGACCCACUACAGUUCGCUUACCGUCCAAAUCGUUCCACAGACGAUGCCAUCUCUCAUCUCCUCCACACAUCACUCACUCACUUGGACACUAGAAGGGGG
ensembl:lncRNA